ensembl:lncRNA
CGCCGGCCUCUGUUCGAGGCAUUUCUUGGGGUAGGUCUUGAAGGAGAGACUGUAGGGUGCCCUGUGACAGGUCUUUUGGCUGGACUUGUGGUAGAGCUUGAGGUGGAGACUUUGGUGGGGGUUGAAGUGGAGCUUGUGGUGGAGCUUGAGGUGAAGUCUGUGGUGGGGGAUGAAGUGGAGCUUGUGGUGGAGCUAGAGGUGAAGCCUGUGGUGGAGUCUGUGGUAGGGGUUGAAGUGGAGCUUGAAGUAGAGCUUGAGGUGGAGCCUGUGGUGGGUGUUGAAGUGGAGCUUGUGGUGGAGCUUGAGGUGGAGCCUGUGGUAGGGGUUGAAGUGGAGCUUGUGGUGGAGCCUGAGGUUGGUCUUGUGGUGGAGCCUGUGGUUGGUCUUGUGGUGGAGCCUGUGGUUGGUCUUGUGGUGGAGCCUGUGGUUGGGCUUGUGGUGGAGCCUGUGGUAGAGCCUGUGGUUGGUCUUGUGGUGGAGCCUGUGGUUGGUCUUGUGGUGGAGCCUGUGGUGGAGCCUGUGGUUGGUCUUGUGGUGGAGCCUGUGGUGGGUUUUGAAGUGGAAAAUGUGGUGGGUCUUAUUGUGGGACUUGAUGUAGACUUUGAGGUGGUACUUGAGGUGGAGCUGGUGGCCCUUGAAGUAGGCCUUAAGGUGGAGGUGGAUGACUGAGGUGGGGCGUCAUCGGGAUUGUUCUCUUCAUAGUAGUUGCUGAUGGUUUUCAUGAAGUUGGUGUUGAAGCCAGAGGCUUUAGCCUUGCAGACAACUGCCUCAGAAAGGAAAAGAAAAACAUAUGGAUGAAGGUAAUGAACCUCUUAGCUGGUUAUGUGACAUGGAAAUAUAGCCUCCUGAAGACUGAGAGAGAAAUAAGGGAAUCUGAAAGAGAAGUAUCUCUAUUACUCACGUCUAGCUACAAGAUCUUUUGUGCUCAAUUUUUCUCCCAUGACCUUAAAGUCUUGAAAUCGUGCAGCCUCCAGCUUGGCCUUCAGCUCACAUUUACUCAUAAUCCGUCCCUCAGUCACACUGGACACCAACAGAACCAGAGGCAACACAGCCAACAUCUUCACUGAGAGAACACUCUUCAUCUCUCUCUGCUCUGAAAUCUGUAGAUUAAAUACAUAGGAGAGUGAAAUCACAGAUAAAUAGGAUCAUUUUGUUAUGCUUCUCACACUUGCUGAAGUACAUUUAUAUUUAAGUCAGUAUGCAAUUUGCAAAAAAAAAAAAAAAUAUUCACCUUAAUAUGACUGUAUAGCAAGUUGAAUGAUGACAUAAAAUAGCUUAUCAUUUUAGUUCUAGAUAUGCAAAAACACCUGUAUAUUGAUUAUUAUGAUAAAUUAAGUAAAUGUAUCUUUUAUAUCAACCCUGCAAUCAUACAGAGACAAGAACCAUAUUAAAAUGAGUCUUACCAUUCUAUUGUUGGAGAUACCGAUGAAUGAGAGUCUUCAAAUGUUCCUCAGUCUUCACUGUCUUCUGUGUGUGACCCAUCAGACUUAUAUAUGUUUGAAUCUCCUCCACCUGCAGCUGCACCUGUGCUUUUGGUUCAUCCCACCAUUAUUGAUGUUCCACAAAUGUUCCACAGAAGGAUUGGCUCUCUCUGCUGAGUUUUGGUUACUCCCAAAGUUUCUUCUUUAUCCACCCAAACCAACCGUUUAAGGGAGUUUUAAGGCACUAUAUUUUGUAAAACCACUUUGGAACAAAGGGA